rnacentral:rRNA from 1 species
UACAGAGGGUGCAAGCGUUAUCCGGAUUCACUGGGUUUAAAGGGUGCGUAGGCGGGUAUAUAAGUCAGUGGUGAAAGCUCCGGGCUUAACUUGGAAACUGCCAUUGAUACUGUAUAUCUUGAAUGUCGUAGAGGUUAGCGGAAUGUUGCAUGUAGCGGUGAAAUGCUUAGAUAUGUUACAGAACACCAAUUGCGAAGGCAGCUAACUAUGCGAUAAUUGACGCUGAGGCACGAAAGCGUGGGGAGCAAACAGG